UUCAGAUAUAUGCUGACUGCUCACUAUGUCCUAGGCACAUUUCUAGGCAUUUGGGGACAUAUCAGUGAGAAAAAUGGGCCAGGAUAUCUGAUUUUGGUUACUUUAAGUAAGGCAACAGAAAAUACACUCUGUUCUCUAUGUGGGGAAAGAUGAGGGAGGGGCAGGUCCCUGCUACUGAGGGAAGAAUAAAGACACCUGAGCUCCAAUCAAGGCAAGGGACCUCUGAAAUGUAUCUCUUGUCUUGAGGUUUGCUAGCCUGAGGUAUUCUCACAGGUCACCCUCCUUAGGGUGUGCGCUGUGGGCUCACUGGCAGCCAUGGAUGUUCUCUCAGUGGUCACGUACCAUGCCAAGCAUUACAGGGCCUCUCUAUCUGCAGGCAGAGCGUUCAGGGCACAUGGAGAGGAUGGUGACCUUUCCAGAGUCAUGCGACAGAGUAAUGGGAGUUGAAGCCAGUACAAAGGAUGAGGAAGGAAAGGAUUGUUAAGGAAGCAUUGCUAAAAGAAUGAGAUUUGAAGCUUUUGAUACAUUAAAACAGUCGCCUAGGAUCCUUUCUGUUAGAUUUUCGCCUUAGGAGUCCUCCCUGAGAAGAUUCUAUGAAAAGAAGAGUGGACAAAAGAAGAGCACACUGCCGUGGAGCAGCCUCUAACACAGAAUGAGGAAGCCAAGUCUGAACACAAGAAAAAGAAAGACAGUUGGCUGUGUAGGACCAGGGAAGACACCCCAAGAGAACAUCUUUGACAUGAACAUUAUCUUUGAGUUAAAAAGCAAUCAAGACUCAGCAGAUCCAGGAAAAGCUUUUUACCUCCCCCUCAACUGCCUAAGAAAAAUUGAGAUAGAGGACUUGUUCCAGCAGGAGAGCUAUCACCUGAGUUAGAUAAGUACAUACCUAGCUAUGGUAGACAGAGAGGAACCCCAGAGGCCUGCUUGAUCAAAGUGCU
rnacentral:lncRNA from 1 species